CCAUUAAUAUUUUCUUCUGUUCCUUCCUCUAAAAAUCUCUCUCUCUCUCUCUCUUCUUUCUCUCUCCCCCUUAUCUUUAUAAACCCCUCUUCCUCUUCAGCCUGAGAUCCAUGGCUAGUUUCUUCUCCAAAAUUGUUGAAUACCCUUUAAAGGGUCUCUCUUUUUGUUCUUGUUUUUUAGGGUUUGUGGUUGUUUGGAUAAUUUUGUGAGGGUUAAGAGAGCUUUCUUCAGUCCACUCAUGGGUGGCCGUAGGGUUUAAUUAGCUGCCGACUCAUUCGUUCAAAUACUGAGUCAAUCAAUCGGCUGUUGAUUCAGUAAACGAGUGAAUGAUGCGGGAGACAAAUUGAAUCUUAAGCUUCCUGUACUUGGACUGAAGGGAGCUCCCUUUCCUUUUAACCCUUUUUUUUCCCCUUAAAAUCUCUCACUUUUCCCUGUUUUUGGCUGUUAAUUUUGCUUUUGAGAUCGAGAUCUCGAACAACUUCAACAUUCAUUCUAUACCCACUUACACAAAUUCAACGUUUUGUUCAAAUAAAUCAUCAAAAUCUUAACUUGUUCUUGUUUUGAUUGGUAGAAAGCUAGCUUGGGUUUUGGAUUCAGAUUCUUCGCUGAGACAACCCAUUUAAACAAGGUUUCAGCAGUCGUUGGUGGAUCUCUGUGUCUCUCAAUCAAUAUCUGUCGGUCAUCGCUAGGCCUCUGGUGGUUGCCCUGCUGCUAGCUUCGUGGUGUCAGCUUGUUAAGUAAAUCAGCCUUUCCAAUGAGAUUUUAUGGGUAAAAAGGUGUUGCUUUGAGUCAUUCAAUUAAUGCAUAAAGGCCAUUUGGUGUCCUAAAUUCUCUCACCCAUCCGUUAAAUUGCUAUCUAAAUUGCUCUCAAACACUUGAGUUGCUACAAGCCUAUGGAAACCUUCAUCUUAUAUUUUCACCUUAGGGUUAGGUUAGAAAUGUAUAACGAUUAUGUGAUCGAUGUACGUGCAUUUAUUGCUUAAUUUGGAUAGUCAUAAGAUCUUGUCUAUAUUGGUAUGCUAUUAAGUCGAAAAGAUGAGACUCGGGUCACUUUUUAUUUUGUUGUGAUGAAAUUUCUUGGUAUUUCUAUUGAUACAAUUUGCUCGUGACUUAUCUCGGCUAAUACUUUAUUCAAGAGUUAUGUUUCGAGUUUUUUAACAUUUCGUUUAGUGGCAAGGAUGUACAGAGGCGAUGGAUGGGAGGAAUGUCAUUUGAGUCAUGGGGUUGUGGCAACAUGUUAAUACAAGCAAAGCUGUGUCACGGUGAUUUUUGAAGAGUUCAAGUCUAUCGUUAGCGGAUAACGGAUAUUGAAUUUGUAAUGUUUUGAUGGUUAACUGCUCAUCAAACCCUGAAGAACUUGAUGUAGCCAGAAACUUCGUGUUCAUAAAGAAAGUUCUCCUUUUUUCAAUCUUUAUUAAAAUUCUGUUUCCUUUUGUGAUUGGACAUGUUUGAACAAUUUUAUUAGAGGACAAAAUUUUGGUGUUGUCA